UACGAAGGGUGCAAGCGUUACUCGGAAUUACUGGGCGUAAAGCGUGCGUAGGUGGUUCGUUAAGUCUGAUGUGAAAGCCCUGGGCUCAACCUGAGAAUGGCAUUGGAAACUGGCGACCUAGAGUGCGGUAGAGGGUAGUGGAAUUCCCGGUGUAGCAGUGAAAUGCGUAGAGAUCGGGAGGAACAUCUGUGGCGAAGGCGACUGCCUGGGCCAGCACUGACACUGAGGCACGAAAGCGUGGGGAGCAAACAGG
rnacentral:rRNA from 1 species